rnacentral:piRNA from 1 species
UGUCUGUGCCAGGGCAACUCAAUUAUUCUGU